rnacentral:tRNA from 1 species
ACCGAAAGGAAUCAAUAAAAUCUGCGGAAUCAUAAUCCGCAGGUCCGGGGUUCGAGUCCCUGAUUCGCCACCA